UGUCUUUGGUCAUUGAUGUAAAAGCACGUUUGGUCAACUUGAGAAGUGAAGGUUAUGAGCCAUUACUUGAUGAAGCCAAAGAAUUUUGCUGUGAGAAUGAUAUCCCAAUACCAAAUAUGGAAGAUAAUGUACCAAGAUUUGGUCGAUCAAGAAAAGGAGGGUGAAACAAUAUCACUCAAGAUCAUUACUUCCGUGUUGAUACCUUCUAUGCUACAAUAGAUGCUAUUACAACAGAGUUUGAUCAUCGAUUCAAUGAGGUAUCUUCGGAAUUGCUUACUUGCUUUGCAUGUCUUGAUCCAAGGGAAUCGUUUUCUAAGUUUGAUGUGAAUAAGCUUGCUCGCCUCAUGGAGAUAUAUUUAGAUGACUUCUCUUUUGAUGAUCGAAAAAAAUAAAAGAUCAAUUACAGACCUUUCUUAUCCAUGUAAGGAGAAUUGAGGAGUUCAGAGUUUGUCAAGAUUUUGCAAUCCUAGCACUAAAAAUGGUUGAGCUCAACAGACAUACGAUGUUCCCAUUGGUUUAUCGUCUAAUUGAGUUGGCAUUGCUACUACCAGUAGCGACCGUAUCGGUUGAAAGGGCUUUUUCAGCCAUGAAGAUAAUUAAAACUGAGUUGUGGAACAAGAUAUUUGAUGGUUGGCUUAAUGACUUAAUGGUUGUGUAUAUUGAGAGGGAGAUAUUUAAAGGAAUUGAUCUUCAAUCUAUCAAAAAGACAUUUCAAGUGAAGAAAGAUAGGAAUAUGAAAUUGCCGAAGCAUCCUAAACGCAACCGGACUGAACACAACUAAUAAAUUUAUCGCUUAUUUUGGUCCCGUUGUUGAUUUAAUGUGUAAUCUACAUGUUUUUCUUCAUUUAAAGUACUUCUAAACGAUGGUCUUGUUGUGAAUUUUUAUUUUCGUACAAUAUAUGAAUGUAGUCUAGAAAUGCAAUGCCACACCUAA